rnacentral:lncRNA from 1 species
UAAAUACAGAUGGUGAACUAAGGGAAGAAGUUUAGUCUAGAAAUAUAAAUGUUAGUGUCAUCGACAUUUAAUUGACAAUUAAAGUCAAAGGAUUAGUGAAACAACCCAAUAUAGGAUUUAGAGAAGAGGUCCAAGGACUGAGUCCUAAGGUAUUCCACUGUUUAAAGGGGUGAAGAAGAGGAAGGUCCCACCAACAGCCUGACGAAGGGUAUCCAGGGUGGGAGAAGAGCAACAGGACAUUGUGUAAUCCAGAAACCAAGUGAAGAAAGCACUUCCAGGAGGAGGAAACAGAGCCACACUCUACACAUCCUGAAUCCUGAAAAAUCAGAAGACUUAACCUUAAUCAAGUGCUGUUACCUCUUCUGAGUUCAAUUCCAAGAGAAAGUGAGAUAUUCUUGAAUGCUUCCAAGAAAAGGAGUGAUGACUUCAGACAUUUAUUGAGAGGUUUAAUCUGGAACCAGAGUGAAGGAUGGAUUGCAGGGGAGAAAGAGGUCACUAGUAAGGAAGCCUGAGUGAAGAAAGCCUCCGUGACUGGGACAUAAAGAGAUGACAGCAUUGUCAGCAGCUCUGUCUUUGCAGGAACUUGUGUCAUGGUGGAUUGCAUAACCCCAAAGGCUCAAAGAGGUGCCA